CUAGAUAGGAGGGCCUUGAUCCCACGAAAAUUUAG
rnacentral:tRNA from 1 species